rfam:Picea glauca, whole genome shotgun sequence.
GAAAGAAUGUGAUGUUGGCCAGGCUCAAUCGGAUUAUAAGGCCAACGGAAUUUGGUCUUCUGAUCUGAUUGAGCCGUGCCAAUAUCACAUUCUAAGUU